rnacentral:rRNA from 1 species
UACGAAGGGGCUAGCGUUGUUCGGAAUUACUGGGCGUAAAGGGCGCGUAGGCGGUCCCUCAAGUCAGGCGUGAAAGCCCCGGGCUCAACCUGGGAACCGCGCUUGAGACUGAUGGGCUAGAGUUCGGGAGAGGAUGGUGGAAUUCCCAGUGUAGAGGUGAAAUUCGUAGAUAUUGGGAAGAACACCGAUGGCGAAGGCAGCCAUCUGGACCGACACUGACGCUGAGGCGCGAAAGCGUGGGGAGCAAACAGGGAUUAAGAUACCCCGGCGUAC